rnacentral:lncRNA from 1 species
CACAUUAUGUGUUUUUAUUUCAGUCGAUGGGGAGACGAGGGGGCGGGUGUUGGAGGGGUUGAGGUUACAGAUGAAACAGUGAUCACACGUUGAGAGUUGAUACUUGUUGAAAGUGAGUGAUGGGUGUAUGGGGGUAAUAUUCUUCUUAUAGGAUGGUCAUUUGACUCACACAAGUUAAUGGAUGCAAAGAGCUCAGCAUAUACGUGCUCAGUAAACAGUAGCUAUUAUCCCCACUUAAUACAAGAAGAUGUGAGGCUCAGAGAAGUUAAGCCACUUGCCUGAGGUCACAGAUCUAGGAGGCAUAGAGUGAGGUCUCUAAACCACACCCAUCGCACCCAAAGCAGGGCUCUUGGCCGCUCUCCUCUGUGGCUCUCUUUCUUCUCUUCUUCAGGUUUCCAUGGCUUCCCACUGCCUGGCUCCCUUCUUCCCUUUCAAAGUUACAUUUGCUGAAUCUCUCUCCACGAAGAGUCACAAGCCUGCUUAUGAAAUCACAUUUCUCAAUGGUUCAUUCAACUCACAUUUGAGUGACUGACAUUGAACAGGAUGCUGGGGCAGCAGAGAUGAAGGCCCGGUCCUCAAGGAGCCAGCCCAGUGCUGCAGAAAGAGUUAAUAGGCAGAGCUAUCGAGUGCCUACCAUGUGCCAGGCCCUCUUGCAGAAGUGCGGGGCAGAGCACACAUGCACACACAACCUGUCAAGUCCCUUGCGCUCCAAAUGAGGAGCCUGAGGCAGAGGUGAACUAAGGAAAGCAGGACAGGGGUAGCGGCAGGAAAGACAAUAACUGCAAUCAAUGUUGGUAGGUGCUGUCCCCGUGUUAGAAGCCAGAACAGGGUGCUCCAGAAACCCAAGAAGGGACACCUACAGUCACUAACGCAGGCGGACCUGGUGAAGAGGGUGUGCAGCCCAUGGGGAGUACACAUGGGUGGUGUGGCUGGAACCAAGUGUGUGCACGAGAAACGGUAGCACCUCAUCAGUCAGAAUAGCCAUCAUUAAAAUAUCUACAAAUAACAAAUGCUGGAGAGGGUGUGGAGAAAAGGGAAGCCUCCUACACUGUUGGUGGGAAUGUAAGUUGGUGCAGCCAUUAUGGAAAACAGUACGGAGGUUCCUCAGAAAACUAAAUAUGGAACUACCACAUGAUCCAGCAAUCCCACUCCUGGGCAUGUAUCCUGACAAAACUAUCAUUCAAAAAGAUACAUGUACCCCUAUGUUCAUUGCAGAACUAUUCACAAUAGCCAAGACAUAGAAACAACUUAAAUGUCCAUUGACAGAUGAAUGGAUUAAGAAGAUGUGGUACAUGUAUGAAAUGGAAUACUACUCAGCUAUAAAAAAGAAUGAAAUAAUGCCAUUUUCAGUAACAUGGCUGAAACUAGGGAUUCUCAUAUUAAGUGAGGUAAGUCAGAAAAAGACAAAUACCAUAAAAUAUCACUUAUAUGAGGAAUUUAAAAUAUGGCACAAAUGAACUGAUUCACAAAACAGAAACAGACCCACAGACUUGGAGAACAGAGUUAAUGGAAAAGAAUAUUUUAAAAAAUGUAUGUAUAUGACAACUGAAUCACUUUGCUGUACAGCAGAAACCAACACAUUAUAAAUCAACAAUAAUUCAAUUAAAAAAAAAUUUUUUUAAUGGCGAAACCUGUAGCCAGGCCACAGAAAACCUUCUCUGUCUAAGGUGUCUGGCCCCUGUGUUUCCUAAAUUUGUCCCGUGAGAAUCAGCCCCACACGCUUGUUAAAAGCGGCUGUUCAAGUUCUAUACGAGGCCCACUGCAUCAGGCUUCAGAGGAGAGGCUCAGGUAGCUCUUGCGAUCAGGCAAAUUUGGAAUCAGCCUGGAGGUGAUGUGGGAGCUAAUUCUAGACAGCUCCUAACGACACGGACCCUCGUCUCUCCCUCGGCCCAAGUCUGCAAGCUUGAAUGUCCCUCAGUAUCUGCAGGGUCAUAGGGAUUGAUGUGCUGCCCUGACCUGACCUGCAGACUCCUGGACCUCACAACCAUAAGACUGUGUGUGGCCUGUAUCACCAGCAGCAUCGCUGCAAAUCAGGGUAUUCCCACAGGCAGAAAUCAAACAGCAGGCAUAGGAGCAAUGGAAUAUAUUUGGUUUCUUGUUCUCACUCUAUGUUUUUCUUUUUAAUUACUUUAUGAGGGCUCGUGCUUGCAAGGUGCACCAGCUAUAGACUGACUGAAUAUUGUGAUCAUAAAAGGGGUAGAAAGGAGAGAGGCUGAAUCUGGGAAGAGGGGUUGGAGUGAUGAAUAGAAAUCUUUAUGGGUCAGAAAAUUAUGUUUGUAGCCUUUUGGCAACCUGUUCCAGAACAUGCCUUGAUGAAGAGACAAUAUCUCCUCCUUCUAGCAUUCCCGAGGAGUGCUGGCAAAAGCUUCUUCGGACAGAGUGGUGAGUGAUUUGACAAUACAGAUUCUCUACGUGCUGUGCGUAAGUGGGCUAGGGAUUAGGUUUCCUAACACCAAGUUAGGGUUGCUAAAGCUCCCAUGAUGGAAAAAUGCUCUCGUGUUAAGUAUCUUGGCUUCAGACGGUUCAGAAAGGAUUAGUGAGACAUUCUAUUGCAACUCAUAGUUGAUACAAAAAAGAGGGUGGGUGGAGGAGGAGAGAAGAGAGAAAAGAGAGACAAUGCCAAAAACCAAAAACUCAUUUUAGCUCUUCUAUUAAAGCCAGAUGUAUUUUAGGGCCCGUUUCUAGGCAACUGCAUAAUGGUAAUAUUCUUGAAUCUUUUUUAAAGACUCACAACUGUCAGAGUCAGUAAAGGUCAGAAGGUAAUUAUAAAGUAAUAAGGAUGACAUACGAGAGGCAGAAUCACUCCAGCAUCGAUUGGGAAGCAGUGACAUUUUAUAGGUUGCGUUCAUUUUCAGAAACUCCAAGAUCUUCCUUUGGGCACUCAGACAUGCCCCUCUGGCAAGACCACUGGCCAGUCAAACUUGAACCUGACCCUGGCAUUUAGACGGUCCAUCCCCUCAUCUGGCCUCUCAAAUCAUUCACGGGGACGGAUGGAGCCCCCAGGGUGCACAAGGCUCCCCCAGUUGUAACAAACAUCUAAGACAAUGUAGAACCAAUUAAGGCCUGUCUAAGUGGGAACUGCCUUAGAGAGCAGUGCAGGAGUCUCCCCGCACAGAUAAGGAAACUGAACCCAGAGGCCAGAGGAGAAAAGGAGAGUGAAGGAAACUAAGAUCUGUGAAAUACACAGGCUCUCUGAACUCGGAGGCCCUCAUUUAGCUUUGACUUUGUUCUUAGUUGUGAGUGUGACCUUGGGACAAACCAGGAAAUUAACAUUCGUAAUAUUCCUCAAACACUUUGCUAGCCUCUUUAUAUAUGUCAGCAUUGGAUUUUCACAAUAACUGAUUGGGUUUAUAGGUAUCAUUCCUAUUUUUAUGGAGG